GCGGAUGUAGCUCAGUGGUAAAGUGUGUGCUUGGUAUGCACAAGGCCCUGGGUUUGAUCCCCAAUACCCCA
rnacentral:tRNA from 1 species